rnacentral:tRNA from 1 species
UGUCUCGUGGUGUAAUGGUAGCACAGAUGGUUUUGGUCCAUCUAGUCAGGGUUCGAAUCCUUGCGAGACAACAA